rnacentral:antisense_RNA from 1 species
GACUCUGCCUUUGCUUGCAGUUCUCUGGCUUGAUUGAGGAGGUUCUCACUUUCAUCUUUAUGGGACUUUGGCUAAAAAAAAUAAACUGUCAAAGGAACUGGCAUUUGCUGACUGGACUACAGCACAUCUCGAAGAAUCUGCAGACUGAAACCUUCAAGGCAUUCAUGAAAUGGUCUUUCCUUAGUUCCCCUGCCCUUUCCACUCUUUCUGCCAUUUGGAUUUCACACUGGAAGUUCAAGAGAUGACAUCAGAAAACAGAAAAGCCAGUGGGAAAGGCAAGGAGAUUUGGAAGAGUGUUUGAAAAUUUUGGCAAUCAAGAAUAAGAAGGUCAGUAAAUUUCAGUACAGGACCACAUAAGUCUAAAAUACUGUGACUGACUACUUCCUGAAAAUCACCUUGUAACACAGGCUUUCUUGGUUUUUAAUCCAACCACAGACCUACGAUUUUGCUUAAAGAUCGUGCAACUGUGUAGACGGAUGUUCCUGCAAACCCAAAGCAGGAAGCCAAGUCACCAGGCAGAACUGAUAGCAUGGGAAGUGGGUUCCCACCAGUCGCAUGCAGCUGCUCUGGUAUGGCCAUGGUGCUGGGGAUGAGUCAGAAAUCUCAGUCUUUUCUGGCUUAAAGAAAAGGAAGAAUGGAACCCAUCUUCUCCAGAUAUGUUGUUAUGGGGUAAGUGUAGGUCUAGAGACAGAAAAGAAUCACAUUUGAACAUCCUCUUAAUGCAAGAACAUUUUUAAAGAAUCAAUUUCCCCUGAAUAUCCAUCAAGCCUAAUACAGUGUGACUAUCUGAGAUCAAUUAUUUUAUCUUUACAAAGACUGGGAGUUAUACAGCAAAAGCAAUACUGUAAAAUAUGUGU